rnacentral:rRNA from 1 species
UACGGGGGGGGCAAGCGUUGUUCGGAAUUACUGGGCGUAAAGGGCUCGUAGGUGGCCAACUAAGUCAGACGUGAAAUCCCUCGGCUUAACCGGGGAACUGCGUCUGAUACUGGAUGGCUUGAGUUUGGGAGAGGGAUGCGGAAUUCCAGGUGUAGCGGUGAAAUGCGUAGAUAUCUGGAGGAACACCGGUGGCGAAGGCGGCAUCCUGGACCAACACUGACACUGAGGAGCGAAAGCGUGGGUAGCAAACAGG